rnacentral:lncRNA from 1 species
CGUGGGUCUUGGAUCCAACACGACAUUUCCAUUUAUUUUUUCUUUUUCUUCCACUACUCCUGGUUUCCUCUACCGACGGUCAAAUCUCUGUCUCCAAAAUUCUAACACCGACCAUAACCUCAAACCCUAACCCAUUGUCAUCGCCACUCUCGUGGAUGAAAAUCAAACCCUUACCAACGCCGAUCCUCGACCUCCCUGCCUCCACCCCAAUCCUCCUAAUCUAAACCCUCACUAUCUGGGGUCCUCACCAUCUUCCGCCACCCUCCUCUCCACCGGUCAACCCCAUCCCUAACCCCAACUGACGAUGCCGACACCGAUCAGUGACCCAACAUAGACCGCAAGUUUAACUCAACCCUACUGAGAAACCCAGGUCUAAUCCAACCAUCCAGGCUAACCCAAACUAACAUUUGGACCCACAGAUUCUAACCCAAAAUUAUUCUAUCCAAUACCCAAUAACACCACCACCCGAUAGCCCGAACUCGUAGGCCAAUUAAUAAAAUCCAAACCAUUCAACCCGAACCCAU